GUCUACGGCCAUGCUACCCUGAACGUGCCUGACCUUGUCUGAUCUUGAAAGCUAAGCAGGGUUGGGCCUGGUUAGUACUUGGAUGGGAGACCACCUAGGAAGACCAGGUGCUGUAGGCU
rnacentral:rRNA from 1 species